rnacentral:tRNA from 1 species
GCCUGGUUAGCUCAAUCGGUAGAGCGUGAGACUCUUAUAUACAAGAGGUUAUCUCAAGGCUGCGGGGUACGAAUCUCCCACAUGACA